rnacentral:tRNA from 1 species
GGGGUCUUAGCUCAAGGGCAAGAGCAGUUUUAGUUGUAAAACUAAAAAAGGCGGGGGUUCGAGUCCCUCAGAUCAUA